GACGAACGCUGGCGGCGUGCUUAACACAUGCAAGUCGAACGGUGAAGCCCUUCGGGGUGGAUCAGUGGCGAACGGGUGAGUAACACGUGAGCAACCUGCCCCUGGCUCUGGGACAACCACUGGAAACGGUGGCUAAUACCGGAUACGACCCGCACAGGCAUCUGUUGUGGGUGGAAAGUUUUUCGGCUGGGGAUGGGCUCGCGGCCUAUCAGCUUGUUGGUGGGGUGAUGGCCUACCAAGGCGACGACGGGUAGCCGGCCUGAGAGGGCGACCGGCCACACUGGGACUGAGACACGGCCCAGACUCCUACGGGAGGCAGCAGUGGGGAAUAUUGCACAAUGGGCGAAAGCCUGAUGCAGCGACGCCGCGUGAGGGAUGACGGCCUUCGGGUUGUAAACCUCUUUCAGCUCCGAAGAAGCGCAAGUGACGGUAGGAGCAGAAGAAGCACCGGCUAACUACGUGCCAGCCGCCACGGUAAUAC
rnacentral:rRNA from 1 species